UUUGUGUUUUCUUAGGUUUUAGGUUCUUUUCUUGUGUUAUUUAAUAAAAUUUCAAUUUCAGCAGUCUUGACCCUUCUGUGGAUGUAGGCUAUUGCCGAACCACGUAAAUUCCUCUACGUAUUUUCAUUUGGUUUCGUUCUUGUUCGAACCAUUUUUUUUACCUCAGUUCUUGAGCUAAGUUUAACAUGUGUUUUUUUUUCUUUUGUUUUAUUUGUAUAUUUUUUAUGAAUUACGUAAGUAAAUAAAUAAAUAAAAAGUAAAGACUGUGCGACGGAUGACUCGAACCCAGGACCUCAGGUCUUG
rnacentral:lncRNA from 1 species